UACGUAGGGGGCGAGCGUUGUCCGGAUUUACUGGGCGUAAAACGCUUGUAGGCGGCCACGCCAAGUCGGACGUGAAAUCUCCCGGCUUAACUGGGAGGGGUCGUUCGAUACUGGCGGGCUCGAGGCAGGUAGGGGGAAGCGGAAUUCCCGGUGUAGUGGUGGAAUGCGUAGAUAUCGGGAGGAACACCAGUGGCGAAGGCGGCUUCCUGGACCUGUUCUGACGCUGAGGAGCGGAAAGCGUGGGGAGCGAGUCCGG
rnacentral:rRNA from 1 species